CCUGGCGGGCGCAUGCGACUUGGCAUGCGCCCGUUUUUGUUGGGCGUUCGGGGCGAGAGCGGCGCGCGCGGCGGUGCGAUGCCGUGCCGCGUGGU
rnacentral:tRNA from 1 species